CUCUACCAGCAGGGGUAGCUGGUUCACCCCCAAGAGAAUCCAGACUCCUCCUUGCCCAGUGAAGGUUCUUGUAAGUGGAUUCAUACCACGUAGCUCCUCUGGAAGCAAGGUCAACUCCAGGUCAACUAGAUCCUGGUCUUCUGUUUCGCUCUGCGAAGGCUGCAGCAAUGGAGCUGUGCUGUCUGUCAACACCCUCAAGGGAUGGAAUUCUGUGAGUCAAGAACCCAACAGGAGCUCAAAUGUGGAGUGUGAUGGAACAGAUUCUAAAAGGAAGAUGAGAAUCCUUAACUGUAUAUUUCCUAGAAAAUUUUUGAUAAGAAAUACUUGGAAGGCUGAGGUAAAUGAAGCAUCAUAGUUUCGAGGUCAGCCCAAACUAACACAGGAAAAUCCUGUCUCAAAACAUCGGAAAAAAGAGCCUGGCAGUUGUGGUGCACACCUUUUGUCCCAGCACUCAGGAGGCAGAGGCAGGUCCCGGUGAGUUCAAGCCCACCCUGGUCUACAGAGCAAGUUCCAGGGCAUCCAGAACUACAUAGAGAAAAACCAUACUGG
rnacentral:lncRNA from 1 species